rnacentral:rRNA from 1 species
UCCUCCCUCUUUCUUCGUGCCUAACACAUGCAAGUCGAACGGAAAGGCCCUGCUCUUGUGGGGUGCUGGAGUGGCGAACGCGUGAGUAUGACGUGUGUAUCCUGCUCUUGUCUUUGGGAUAACUUCAGGAAACUGGAGUUAAUAUCGGACAGGAGCACCUGUAGCAGGGUGGGGGGUGGAAAGUUGCGGCGGUUGGGGAUGGAGGCGCGGCUGAGCAGCUUGUUGGUGGGGUAGUGGCGUACCAAGGCUUUGACGGGUAGCCGGCCUGAGAGGGUGACCGGGCACAAUGGUCCUGAGGAAGGGCCCAGAGUGCAACGGGGGGCAGCAGUGGCAAAUAUUGCACAAUGGGCGGACGCCUGAUACAGCGGCGUCGCGUGCGGAAUGACGGCCUGCGGGUAAUAAACCGCUUUCGCCUGUGACGCCGCGUGAGUGACGGUAAUCAGUAAAGAAGCACCGGCUAACUACGUG